rnacentral:rRNA from 1 species
AGCGAACGCUGGCGGCAGGCUUAACACAUGCAAGUCGAACGGACCCUUCGGGGUUAGUGGCGGACGGGUGAGUAACACGUGGGAAUGUGCCUUUAGGUUCGGGAACAACACAGGGAAACUUGUGCUAAUACCGAAUGUGCCUUUCGGGGGAAGAUUUAUUGCCUUUAGAGCAGCCCGCGUCUGAUUAGCUUGUUGGUGAGGUAAAGGCUCACCAAGGCGACGAUCAGUAGCUGGUCUGAGAGGAUGGCCAGCCACAUUGGGACUGAGACACGGCCCAAACUCUUACGGGAGGCAGCAGUGGGGAAUCUUGCGCAAUGGGCGAAAGCCUGACGCAGCCAUGCCGCGUGGAUGAUGAAGGUCUUAGGAUUGUAAAAUCCUUUCACCGGGGACGAUAAUGACGGUACCCGGAGAAGAAGCCCCGGCUAACUUCGUGCCAGCAGCCG